rnacentral:rRNA from 1 species
AUUGAACGCUGGCGGCAUGCCUUACACAUGCAAGUCGAACGGCAGCACGGGUGCUUGCUCCUGGUGGCGAGUGGCGAACGGGUGAGUAAUACAUCGGAACAUGUCCUGUAGUGGGGGAUAGCCCGGCGAAAGCCGGAUUAAUACCGCAUACGAUCCACGGAUGAAAGCGGGGGACCUUCGGGCCUCGCGCUAUAGGGUUGGCCGGCGGCUGAUUAGCUGGUUGGUGGGGUAAAGGCCUACCUAGGCGACGAUCAGUAGCUGGUCUGAGAGGACGACCGGCCAGACGGGGACUGAGACACGGCGCAGACGCCUAAGGGAGGCAGCAGGGGGGAAUAUUGCACAAUGGGCGCAAGCCUGAUGCAGCGACGCCGCGUGAGGGAUGGAGGCCUGCGGGUUGGGAACCUCUUUCGCCAGUGAAGCAGGCCUGCCUCGUUUGUGGGUGGGUUGACGGUAGCUGGAGAAGAAGCGCCGACUAACUACGUG